GUGAGAUCCACCCACUACCCACAAAACAUUGCUCCUAACUCCACCACCUAUCCUGAAACGUAUGAGAACUAAUGAUAAUCCCACCACCCUUUGCUGACUCUCUUUUCAGACUCAGCCUGCCUGCACCCACAUGAAAUAAACAGUCUUGUUGCUCACACAAAGCCUGUUUAGUGGUCUCUUCACACAGAUGCGUAUGACAUUUGGUGCUGAAGACCAGGGUCAGAGGGACUGCUUCAAGAGACCAGUUCCCUGUCCUCACCCUCACUCUGUGAAGAGAUCCACCUACAACCUCCGGUCCUCAGACCAACCAGCCCAAGGAACAUCUCACCAAUUUCAAAUCAGAUACGAGGUUACACCAUGUGGCCCAAACUCCUGAGCUCAAACAAUCCUCCUGUCUUAGCUUCCGGAAGUUCUGGGAUUACAGACAUGAGCCACUGUACCUGGCUGACUCCUUCCCUUGAUACUCAACCUAACUUAGGAGUGCCCCACCUGGAAGACCUCCAAGCUGCUGUAACAUUACCUGGCCCACUCCACACUUCUGAUAUGGGAACCCUUGGUUCCUGUUUCCCUCUACACCACCCCCAUCCCCAUCACAGCAGUCAUUACCUGGAAAUACAUUGUGAUCCUGCCUGCUACAAGACAGAGCCAAAAUGUGGAUUUUCUCAAUUUUGUCCUCCUAGUAUCUCACACACAAACAUACACACACACAGAGGGACU
rnacentral:lncRNA from 10 species